rnacentral:misc_RNA from 1 species
GUAGAAAACACCUUAUUCGGCUUAUCCAAAUGGAAGGCUGAAUGCAGAUAAGCAUAAAAAAAAACAAGCGUUCGAAAAAAGAAAGCAAAAUGUCUCUGCUGCUCUUCUCUAAUCCUCUCCCCUCUUUUUCCCCUCUUUCUUCGUCAUCAUGUUCAUCUUCCAUCAUCCUCACAGCUGCUCCUGUAUCUAGGUUGCAUUUCAAACCCAUUGAUCUGCACCCAAAAUCUUUGAAUAGAUUUCAAUUUCAGAUUCCUAUUCUCCGAAGCAAAUGGGAUGUAGUGCUUGUGAAUGCUUCUUCUGACAUUGAUGGAAUGGAUCCAACAGACAAUAGCGAGCCCUCUACAGAAAGCAAAGAGGAGAUUAUUCCAGUUGACAAGCUACCAUUAGAGUCGAAGCUUCAGGAGAGGAUGGAACAGAAGAUGAAGAUGAAACUGGCCAAGAAGAUUAGGCUUCGUAGAAAGAGGCUUCUUCGGAAAAGGAGAAUGAGAAAGAAGGGUAGAUGGCCUCCUUCCAGGAUGAAGAAGUUAAAGAACGUCUGAUUUUUGCCUCAAGUUUUCUUGCAGGUUCUAAUCUGUUGCUGACCCUUUGCUUCUCAUCCACUGCCAAAGUCUUCUAGCAAGUUUGAAUGUGUUUUUUAAUGUUAAUUUGUUUUACUGUUUAUCUGAAACAUAAGAUCAUGAAGAUUACGUCCAAUUAUUUCUGAAUUUGAAUUUUAAAAGGUAUAAGAAUUGCAUUUCUUCGUCUGGUUGAUAUGUUAUCAGUGCCUGAUUUAUUGAUCCUAGUGAUUUAUUACAUUUUUGCCCAUUUGACCGUGUUGCAAUUAUUCUUUAAGGUCCUAAGUGAACAAGAAUUGGCGUAGUCACCAAAUGUUAAUAUUUUAGUUCUAACUUGUUUACCUGAUAUUUAAUUAAUUGAAAUCCUCCGGACACAUUUGUCUCAUGAUGAAGAUACAAAAACAUAAAAACACGAUCUAAAAUGCUUUAUUGUGUUGACAGGCGAUUAGGAGUACUUUUAGUUUAUCACUGAGUGUGAGAUAGCAGAGUUUCAGCGUGAGACUCAAAUCAAAGCUCUGAAUUUGUUGCUCCUUGAUGCUGUGAAUUUAAUAGGAGAUGAAAAUCCUCAUUUUCUGUUAGUCAAGAUUUGAGGACAAGUCUUUUAAUGGCUUGGUGAGAAUUUUAUAUGGCUUCAGUAGUUAGCUGGUGAAAUAAGGUAGGGCAAGGCAGACCUGGGCAAGCGCCAGCUCAAAACUUGAAUUGGACCAGAACAAGACCGAUUUAAACUGGACCAUAACCGAACCAGUUAAACCCAUUUUUGACUUGAACUGAAAUUGAAUUGGAAAAUUCCAGGCCGAACUGUCUUUUUUUAUUUAAAAAAAAAUCCAAAAAAAUUGGACCAUUGAAUUUGAACCAAAUCGAACCCGAUCUAGGACCUGAACUAGAUUGAAACCUUGGAGGGUUCAUGGUUUUGAUUCUAGUUCACCCUUUAGAUGAACAAAAACUGGUGGUUCUGGGCCGCUUAAAACUAGAACCGGAUUGGUGGCUGGGCUUUGGGCUAGGCAUAUGUGGUUUGCA